rnacentral:rRNA from 1 species
AUUGAACGCUGGCGGAAUGCUUUACACAUGCAAGUCGAGCGGCAGCACGGGGGCAACCCUGGUGGCGAGCGGCGAACGGGUGAGUAAUACAUCGGAACAUGCCCAGUCGUGGGGGAUAACACUUCGAAAGAAGUGCUAAUACCGCAUACGUCCUGAGGGAGAAAGCGGGGGAUCGCAAGACCUCGCGCGAUUGGAUUGGCCGAUGUCAGAUUAGCUAGUUGGUGGGGUAACGGCCUACCAAGGCAACGAUCUGUAGCUGGUCUGAGAGGAUGAUCAGCCACACUGGGACUUCGACACGGCCCAGGCUCCUACGGGAGGCAGCAGUGGGGAAUUUUGGCCAAUGGGGGCAACCCUGAUCCAUCCAUUCCGCGUGAGUGAAGAAGGCCUUCGGGUUGUAAAGCUCUUUCGGCAGGAACGAAACGGCGAGCUCUAACAUAGCUUGCUAAUGACGGUACCUGAAGAAGAAGCACCGGCUAACUACGUGCCAGCCGCCGCGGUAAAAC